rnacentral:misc_RNA from 1 species
AUUCCAUUGAAAAAAUGAGCCAAAAAUACCCAAAAAAAGUUGCAUAACCAGUCAUGUCAAUUAAAGUAACAGCAUCUCCGUUACCCUUCUCUCCAACUCAAGAGGCAGGAGCAACAGUAAAAAUAACUGUAAUAACGGAAUAACGGUAACCACAAAUGCUUCAUUUCCAAUACCAUUGCUGGAACAUAAAUAUACUAUGCUAGCUUUUUUACAUGUAAAAUAGUUCCUAGAGCUAGGAUUAACUACCAAACAGCAGGGUCUUGGUAUUUGUGCAUGGGAGGGGGAGAGUUGGGUUGUUGAAAAUGGACAGGAACAAGGGAUCUAGAAAAAGAUCUGUGGUCUUAUUUGGUUGGUUGUAUUAUAUCCUCUGUGAUCUUCAUCCAUUGAUUUUGCUGCCCCUUUUAGAUGCCACUUUUUUUACUGUUAUAGAACUUGGAAUCAGACUUUUGAUUGACAAGAAGCAGAAGCCCUCUCCAUGGGAACUUGAUUACAGAAGCUUCGUACGUUUUGUCUUUCAUCAUGUCUUUGUGUUUCUUAUCUUUAUUUCUCUCUGGCUUGGACAUCGAUCCCCAUUGCAGAUGUUUGUAGGGCAGCUCUCUGAUAUUAUUUAAUGGAAAGAACACAAGUUGUUGCUGAACCCAGAUGGAUUAAGAAACUUUUGUCUUUGUUCAUCUACACCCCACAAUAGACUACCACUAUCCUGAUGAAUGAAGUCACUAGACAUUUGCCCUUGAACUAAAAGUGAUGCUGAUGAACUAUCAAAGAGAGGAUACGCAAAGGUGGCCGUGGCGGUGGCUGUGGCAGUGGUGUUGUUGGCGGAAGCUGCAUUGGCAAAAUCAGCGGGCUGGGUCGGGGUGCAUUGUUGCCUAGGUGGCAGUGAUGAUGCCAAGCGACUCAAUCCCUGCGUAAAUUCGUGUCAGAGACAAAGAUCUCUCAUCAGCUUUAAUCAUAAACGCAGUUUUUGAAGUUGGACCGUAUAUAACAAUAAUAAAAAUAUAAUUUAUAGCUUUUGUUUUUUAACUGAUUAAUUUUUUUUUACCUCCGAUCUGACCAUCAAUGCAUCUAGAUCCAUUCCAAAGUCAUAGAACAAAGGAUUGACAGAAGCAAGCUUCAUGGAGAGGAACUGGGGAAAUGAAAGAAGCAAUCUCCAUCGUAAUUAAGCAUAAUUAAUUACAGCUACAACAUAGUGUUUCUUAAUUAAUGUGUAUGAUUAGUAUUUACCUCCACUUGAUUCUGUAGAGACUGGACAUAAUUAAUAAUUUCAUCCAACAUGAGGGCCUUUCCAGUUACCUAUUUUUAAACCAUACCACAUGAAGCUAUCAGAUAUAUACAUGUUCUAAAGGAGAAUAUAGAAGACAUUAUUUUUCUAAGAAAGACAAGAAACUGCACAUUUCUUCACCUUGUCACAGCCAGGAACAAGACGCUGCAAAAUCUUCAUCCUCUCACUGAUUUUUUCUCUUCUGACCCUCUCUGCAAGACUAUGGCUGUCUGUUGCUUGGCCCCUCCUUGCUCUUACAUGAAUGUAGCCUGUUGGGGGCCCUUCAGGAACUUUUUUCUCAGCUUUAGGCCUCUUAUCUUCUUCUUUUAAUUCACUAUUGCGUUUCUUUUGUUUCAUGCUUCUUCCAUCUCUAGCAUCCUUUGAUUGAGCAGAAUUCAAAGAUGAACCAUUUGCAUGCUUCCUCUUCUUGUCCAUAGGAGGCAGCUUCUGGGUAACUUGCUCACCGCUUUCAGGCUUGUCCACAACAGUAGAGGAGUCUGUGCCCUGUUUCUUGGUCACAGAAGGUUCAUUAUCACUAGGAGCAAGCAUAGAGCUAUGAUCAAGAAGACUAGUGUCAUGAAAUCUAACAUCAAGAGGAGUCUGAAGGGGAAGUUUAGAAGGGUAAAAUUGGGAAAAACAAUUGGUAUUGAUGUUCCCUUCCUCCAUAAAACCAGACAGAUUCUUAAUGGGAGUGUUUGGCAAGAAAACCGAGUCAAGACGAAAUGGGUGGUGUUGGUAUGAAAAAGCUGCCAUUUGAAAGAGCGAGAGAGAGAUGGAGAGAGCUUUGGAAUUGAAAAUUGCAAGUGUUCAAGAAAGUGAUGGAAGAGAGCUGAGAUUAUGAUAUUUUGAGGAAGCCAGAAGUAGCAGUCGAGAAAAG